rnacentral:rRNA from 1 species
GAUCCUGGCUCAGAGUGAACGCUGGCGGUGUGCCUAACACAUGCAAGUCGAACGGUAACAGGUUAAGCUGACGAGUGGCGCACGGGUGAGUAAAAGAUAGCUAACAUUCCCUUUGGAGGGGAACAACAGAUAGAAAUGUCUGCUAAUACCCCAUACUCCGAGCAAUCGGGAAACGGUUUUUCGCCAAAGGAUUGGGCUAUCACCUAUCAGUUAGUUGGCAGGGUAAAAGCCUACCAAGACUAUGACGGGUAACUGGUCUGAGAGGACAAUCAGUCACACUGGAACUGAGACACGGUCCAGACUCCUACGGGAGGCAGCAGUGGGGAAUAUUGCGCAAUGGGGGAAACCCUGACGCAGCAACACCGCGUGGAGGAUGGAGCAUUUCGAUGUGUAAACUCCUUUUGAGAGGGAAGAAUAAAGACGGUACCUCUCGAAUAAGCACCGGCUAACUCCGUGCCAGCAGCCGCGGUAAUACGGAGGGUGCAAGCGUUACUCGGAAUCACUGGGCGUAAAGAACGCGUAGGCGGGGUUAUAAGUCUUGAGUGAAAUACUAUAGCUUAACUAUAGAAUUGCUUUGAGAAACUAUAAUCCUAGAAUCUGAAAGAGGUAAAUGGAAUUAGUAGUGUAGGGGUAAAAUCCGUAGAUAUUACUAGGGAUACCAAAAGCGAAAGCAUUUACUGGGGUCAGUAUUGACGCUGUGGCGUGAAAGUGUAUGUAGCAUACGGGAUUAGAACCCUGGUAGUCCACACCCUAAACUA